rnacentral:rRNA from 1 species
AUGCCGAGCGUUCCGAAGGAUUUCGCCGAGCACAAGUUACACGUCCGAGCCGACGCGAAGCCGGUCAAGCAGCCUCUCCGCCGACUGUCAGAAGAGAAGAGAAGAAUCGUAGGAGAAGAGAUAGCCCGGCUCCUUGCCGCCGGCUUUAUUAUGGAAGUGUUUUUUCCAGAGUGGCUUGCCAACCCAGUCUUGGUGUUGAAGAAAAACAACAAAUGGCAUAUGUGUAUAGACUACACUAGCCUCAAUAAGGCCUGCCCCAAAGAUCCGUUUGCUCUGCCACGGAUUGAUCAAGUGAUAGACUCCACAGCCGGAUGCGAGCUGUUGAGUUUCUUGGAUGCCUACUCAGGAUACCACCAGAUUAAGUUGGACCCAGCAGACCGCCUGAAGACCGCCUUCAUCACACCAUUCGGAGCUUUCUGUUACCUGACUAUGACAUUCGGCUUGAGGAAUGUCGGUGCCACUUUUCAGCGUUGCAUGUAG